ACCCGACUGGCUCGGUCAGUAGAGCACGCGACUCUUGAUCUCGGGGUCAUGAGUUCAAGCUCCAUGUUGGGCA
rnacentral:tRNA from 1 species